GGGCGCGUAGCUCAGCUGGGAGAGCACCUGGUUCGCACUCAGGAGGUCGAGGGUUCGAGUCCCUUCGCGUCCA
rnacentral:tRNA from 1 species